UGGGGAAUUUUGGACAAUGGGCGAAAGCCUGAUCCAGCAAUGCCGCGUGUGUGAAGAAGGCCUUCGGGUUGUAAAGCACUUUUGUCCGGAAAGAAAUCCUUGGCUCUAAUACAGUCGGGGGAUGACGGUACCGGAAGAAUAAGCACCGGCUAACUACGUGCCAGCAGCCGCGGUAAUACGUAGGGUGCAAGCGUUAAUCGGAAUUACUGGGCGUAAAGCGUGCGCAGGCGGUUUGCUAAGACCGAUGUGAAAUCCCCGGGCUCAACCUGGGAACUGCAUUGGUGACUGGCAGGCUAGAGUAUGGCAGAGGGGGGUAGAAUUCCACGUGUAGCAGUGAAAUGCGUAGAGAUGUGGAGGAAUACCGAUGGCGAAGGCAGCCCCCUGGGCCAAUACUGACGCUCAUGCACGAAAGCGUGGGGAGCAAACAGGAUUAGAUACCCUGGUAGUCACGCCCUAAACGAUGUCAACUAGUUGUUGGGGAUUCAUUUCCUAGUAACGUAGCUAACGCGUGAAGUUGACCGCC
rnacentral:rRNA from 1 species